GAUGAACGCUGGCGGCGUGCCUAAUACAUGCAAGUCGAGCGAACAGACGAGGAGCUUGCUCCUCUGACGUUAGCGGCGGACGGGUGAGUAACACGUGGAUAACCUACCUAUAAGACUGGGAUAACUUCGGGAAACCGGAGCUAAUACCGGAUAAUAUAUUGAACCGCAUGGUUCAAUAGUGAAAGACGGUUUUGCUGUCACUUAUAGAUGGAUCCGCGCUGCAUUAGCUAGUUGGUAAGGUAACGGCUUACCAAGGCAACGAUGCAUAGCCGACCUGAGAGGGGGAGCGGCCACACUGGAACUGAGACACGGUCCAGACGCAGACGGGAGGCAGCAGUAGGGAAUAUUCCGCAAUGGGCGAAAGACUGACGGAGCAACGAAGCGUGAGUGAUGAAGGUCUUCGGAUCGUAAAACUCUGUUAUUAGGGAAGAACAUAUGUGUAAGUAACUGUGCACAUCUUGACGGUACCUAAUCAGAAAGCCACGGCUAACUACGUG
rnacentral:rRNA from 1 species